rnacentral:lncRNA from 1 species
GGGGGUGUCACAGAGCUGGGAACUCGCUCAGAGCCAGGGUCUCUGCUGGGGUCAGCGUCUGUACGCUAAAGCCAGGGCGCAAAGUGCGUGGGCACUGCGGACACUAGAGGCUUAUGGCGCUGGAAAUACAAGGCCGAGUUGCCGGCGCAAAGAGUUCCCCGGGCGGGUUGGUGAUGCGGCGCGCUUUGAUAACAGGUUAAUCCGGCCAACAUUCGCUCCGCGAGAGAGCCAUCGGAGGGCUCCGGGAGACUGCGGCGCCACGGAGGGAGAGGCGGCGAGAGGCCCCUCUGCGAGCACCCUCUGGGCGCAGUGCGGUGGGCUAUGCUCUGCGCAGCCCCGGGCGCGCCUGGGUUCUCAGAGCCCAAGACCUGAGCCGCUCCGAGCGCAGGGCGCCAGUUCUCUUUCAGAAGCGGGAGAAGUUCAGGUGCCCAACACCUUGAUCAGUGCCUGCUUUGUAGUAGGCAUUCAAAUACUGUGGACUGGAUGAAUGGAGUCACUUCCCUUCCAACCUGCACACCAACGUGGUUGAACUGCCUCCUUUCUAAGUGCCAAAGUCUGUUUUACAAGGCUGAUAUCAAAGGAGCAUUACAAAAUAUUGUCUAACAGAAGUACCAGGGCUGGAUCCCAAAGUUUUGUGUAGAUCUUGAUAAAGAGUUUGGAUUUUAUUCUAACAAGAGUGAAGAGCAUGACAAUGUUUGCAGAAGAGUGAUGGCUUCUUUCAGGCAACAGUGACAAUUACACCUCCUCUUUUUCUCUUUGAUCCUCCACCCUCUCCCUCCAGCACCUGGUACAAAGCUGGGUACCCAGCAGACACUCUGUAAAUUAAAGUGCUGCCAGCCUGAACAAUCUCAGUGGAAG